GCAAGGACAGAUGGCAGGGCGUCUCUCCCGGGCCGUGUCGCAUGCACUGUCAGUUUCGCUCGGAUACUCGUACACGAGUUUUAUCGUGCUCUGUCUACGCUCGCCGCGCUCCUCGUUCAACGUACCAAACUCACUAAGGAGAGAAGAUCCAUCCGCGCACACGCUUCAGACGCAUACUCCUCUUUUUCCAAUUCGUUCGACAACACGGUCCAUGAAUCAGAAGAAUUAGAUCAUCUACUUUACGUUAAUCGUUCGCUUCGUUUAAUAACGAAAUACGAGUAGAACGUGAGAUUACACCUAGACUUCUCUGUUUUUUCCACCGCCCGUUGCUACGUACAGAAGAAUGAAAAUCAGUUGAGAUCGUUCGAUUUGCAUAGUAGAAUAUAUAUUUUAAGAACACGGUGUACAAGUCGUCGAAUGAAUAUCCCUUUCUUUUAGUUGUUUUUGUUCGUCAAUUUCAAAGAACGCGAAGAAGUAAAAAAGAGAGGGUUUGUUCAUCUAUGUACCGUUGGUCAAUUAAGUAGUUCACGGAUAAAGACACGUUCCAGCGGGAAGAGAGAAGCACUAGUGUCACGUAAGUGGGAGUGAGACGGACUAUUAUGGGGAAGAAGUAUCGGGGGCGAUUUCUAUGCAUGCCAACGCGUAGAUCUCGAAUAGCGGAGACAUAAUGGCGACAUUCAGUGAAAAACUAAAGGAAAAUCGGAUGCUUAUCGAUUCGUAUCUCUUUUCACGAGUUUGAUCUUACACUAGUCUUUGUAUCGCGAAAUGCUGUAUCGAACGCUCGACUUUGGAUUAUUGCACCAUACCAGGGAGAAGAUUAAAGCAUCGCGGAUGGGAUGGAUCGGUUCGAUGGAAAUAAUUGAUAAGUGAAAGUCUGGUCUCGAGGAAGAGUGAUCGCGGAGAACGCGAAAACUCCUUUAUCUCCCACUAUCUCGUCUCGUAUAAACCUCGUAUUACUAUUCCAUUCCUUUUCCUUUUUCCCAUACAUCUCGCCGGUUGAAACAAAGAUUGUGGUGGAUUUUUUUGAAAAACGCGACGGUUCUAUCAAGCGACAUCGUGGAUCGAAUAUGAGAGAGAGAAACAAAAAAUGAAGAGUUUAUUUUUUACUCUGGGUCUAUUGUUUUCGGUGCAAAGACUUGCCCGGAGCACAUCCGAUUCCGAGAUGCACGAGAAUCGGGCACUGGAACCACUCGACCGUGGACCUUACUUUGACAUCUCAGCGUCACGGAAUGUCACCGCGUUGGUUGGCAAAACGGCCACCCUCACCUGUCGAGUACGGAAUCUGGGCGAUCGUACGGUUUCCUGGGUAAGGCACAGGGAUAUCCAUCUUUUAACUGUUGGCGUUGAAACGUAUACAUCCGACCAAAGAUUCGUGGCAUCACACUUUCCCAGAACCGAAGACUGGACGCUCCAAGUGAAAUAUCCUCAGCGUCGUGAUUCCGGGAUCUACGAGUGUCAAGUGUCAACGACACCACCGAUCGGCCAUUCGAUGCAUCUCUCCGUCGUCGAACCUGUCACGUCGAUCGUUGGAGAACCAGAGAUGUUCAUAAACAAGGACAGCACCAUGAAUCUCACUUGCGUGGUACGUCACAGCCCCGAACCACCGACCGCCAUUUAUUGGACCCAUGACCACGAGGUGAUCAACUACGAUAGUCCUAGGGGAGGCGUAUCGGUGAUCACCGAGAAGGGAGAAGUUACAACGUCGUAUCUUUUGGUGCAGCGUGCCCAGCGUGCAGAUAGCGGCCAGUAUACCUGCCAUCCCAGUAACGCUAAUACAAAGACAAUCCUCGUGCACGUACUUAAUGGGGAACAUCCAGCAGCGAUGCAACACGGUGGCCAACUGAGGCUGGCAAAUCUGCCAUUCGUAAUGAUCUCAACGACUCUGCUGGCCUUCCUGAAUCAUCGUUAUUGAACCCAGCUACCGUCGUGGGAUCACGAAAUACUCAUUUCAGAUAUUCAUCGAUUAAAUUAAUACGUCACUAGUAGUCGCUUUCUGAAAAUUGGAGAACUUCUGGCCACGCAGAAAAAUGGCUGCUACGAGAAGGAAGUGACAACCAUCUUGAAAGUAUACGAACCACGUUAAAAAGAUAUCGAUGAGAAAUGGAAACCGUAAAGUGAUAUUAUUGGAUCAAGAACACGAGGAGAAAGAUCUGUGAAGGAAGAAUAGAAAAAGGUGAAGGUGGAAUCGGACCAUAUUGCGGCACAACGGAUGCUGAAUGUAUUAUAAGAAAAGUAGUCUGUUGUAACGAAAUAAUAUAAGACUUAAUCUAUUAUAGGGUGUUUCAGAAUUGAAUAAUAAAAUGAUGCUUUUUUAUUUUAUAAAUGAACGUUACGAAAGAAGUUGAUAAAAUAAGUUAUAAGAUAAACUUAUAAAAUAUGAGAGGAAACUUUUUUUAGAACGACCACCAUUUUAGGUAAUGGAAGUUAGAUCAAGUUUCAAUUGAUUUAGAUCACUAUAUCCAUAUCUGAAAUUUGACGUGAAAGAAUAUUGAUUUAAAAUAUGGAUACUAUAAUUUAUGUACAGUCUUUCCUCUUUUUUAUCUCAAUUUCGCUUUCAUUUGAAAAGAUACUAUAGUAUAUGUAUUUGGACCAUUAAUAACUAUUAGUAAUAAAAUAAAUUUCUAUUCCUUCAAUAUAAUUUUUCAAUCUUGAGACAUCCUAUAUUUAAAAAAGUAAGAUAAAAAAUGAAUAAAAAGUAAAUUGUCGAUGGUAAUAAUAGUUCGUUGAAGACGAACCGUUUACUGCUGAACAAACUACGAUUUUAUUUGCUGUGUUACAGUUAUGAGACAAUACAUUGUACUUGCCAAAGGAAAUGUAAGAAUUACUGUUGAAAUGCAAUUAAGAUUUUUAACCGUUUCGUCAUAAACGAUUUAUUAUACAGAGUGGGUUAAAUAUAAAGUUGUAAGUUGAUUUUUCAUAAAUCACUAAACAUAU